rnacentral:rRNA from 1 species
AUUGAACGCUGGCGGCAUGCUUUACACAUGCAAGUCGAACGGUAACAGGCCGCAAGGUGCUGACGAGUGGCGAACGGGUGAGUAAUGCAUCGGAACGUGCCCAGUCGUGGGGGAUAACUACUCGAAAGAGUAGCUAAUACCGCAAACGAUCUAUGGAUGAAAGCGGGGGACCGUAAGGCCUCGCGCGAUUGGAGCGGCCGAUGUCAGAUUAGGUAGUUGGUGGGGUAAAGGCUCACCAAGCCAACGAUCUGUAGCUGGUCUGAGAGGACGACCAGCCACACUGGGACUGAGACACGGCCCAGACUCCUACGGGAGGCAGCAGUGGGGAAUUUUGGACAAUGGGCGCAAGCCUGAUCCAGCAAUGCCGCGUGCAGGAAGAAGGCCUUCGGGUUGUAAACUGCUUUUGUACGGAACGAAACGGCUCUGGUUAAUACCCGGGGCUAAUGACGGUACCGUAAGAAUAAGCACCGGCUAACUACGUG